rnacentral:ncRNA from 1 species
AAUUAAACACUUAAGAGUGUAUGGUGGAUGCCUUGGCAGUUUAAGCCUAAGAAGGACGUGAGAGCCGACGAUAUGCUUCGGUGAGGUGGCAACUAACCUUUGACCCGGAGAUUUCCGAAUGGGGCAACCUAUGUGCUUGAAGAGCACAUGCUAUGUAGAUGUGGUGUCUACAGUAGCGGGAACCGCGUGAAGUGAAACAUCUCAGUAACGCGAGGAAAAGAAAAAAAGGGCAUUAUCUUUAGAAUGUCUAAUGACGAAUUUCAAAUGUCAAAUUUGGCAUUGGGAAUUUGAAAUUGGACAUUCUAGGGUAUUGUCUCAUUCUCCUAGUAGUGGCGAGCGAACGGGGAAGAGUCUAAACUAACUUUGUGUUCUGAAGUUGAAGGGCAGUCGCAAGAUUGUCUGAAACUUUAGUUAAAGCUUACAGGCCUUGCAAGGAUUAGGGUUACAACAAUCAUUCAUUGAAUCACUGUAAUGAUUCUGAAGAUUUCAAUUGGAGCUGUUUAGCCGAAUGGCCCUGGAAAGGCCAGCCAAAGAGCGUGAUAGCCGCGUAGCGCGAAAAACCUCUUA